UCGGUCUGGCGGCGAGUGGCGAACGGGUGAGUAAUGUAUCGGAACGUGCCCAGUAGCGGGGGAUAACUACUCGAAAGAGUAGCUAAUACCGCAUACGCCCUACGGGGGAAAGGGGGGGAUCGCAAGACCUCUCACUAUUGGAGCGGCCGAUAUCGGAUUAGCUAGUUGGUGAGGUAAAGGCUCACCAAGGCGACGAUCCGUAGCUGGUUUGAGAGGACGACCAGCCACACUGGGACUGAGACACGGCCCAGACUCCUACGGGAGGCAGCAGUGGGGAAUUUUGGACAAUGGGGGCAACCCUGAUCCAGCCAUCCCGCGUGUGCGAUGAAGGCCUUCGGGUUGUAAAGCACUUUUGGCGGGAAAGAAAUCGCAUGGAUUAAUACUCUGUGUGGAUGACGGUACCUGCAGAAUAAGCACCGGCUAACUACGUGCCAGCAGCCGCGGUAAUACGUAGGGUGCAAGCGUUAAUCGGAAUUACUGGGCGUAAAGCGUGCGCAGGCAGUUCGGAAAGAAAGAUGUGAAAUCCCAGGGCUUAACCUUGGAACUGCAUUUUUAACUCCCGAGCUAGAGUGCGUCAGAGGGGGGUGGAAUUCCGCGUGUAGCAGUGAAAUGCGUAGAUAUGCGGAGGAACACCGAUGGCGAAGGCAGCCCCCUGGGAUGACACUGACGCUCAUGCACGAAAGCGUGGGGAGCAAACGGG
rnacentral:rRNA from 1 species